GAUGAACGCUGGCGGCGUGCCUAAUACAUGCAAGUCGAGCGAACAGACGAGGAGCUUGCUCCUCUGACGUUAGCGGCGGACGGGUGAGUAACACGUGGAUAACCUACCUAUAAGACUGGGAUAACUUCGGGAAACCGGAGCUAAUACCGGAUAAUAUAUUGAACCGCAUGGUUCAAUAGUGAAAGACGGUUUUGCUGUCACUUAUAGAUGGAUCCGCGCCGCAUUAGCGAGUUGGUAGGGUGACGGCUUACCAAGGCAACAGUGCGUAGCCGACCUGAGGGGGGGAUGGCCCCCUGGGGAGGUGACACGCCGCCCAGGCACCUAGGUGCGGCCCAGGCUGGGACUCUUCCCAACAGGGCGAAAUCCUGCCGGAGGAACGCCAGCCUGGUGGUGAAGGUCUGCGUGCCGUAAAACUGUGUUCUGGGUGAAAACCAAAUUUGUAUGUAACUAUGCGUGUUUGACGGGAACCUAUAAAGAAGCCCCGGCCAACUCCGUG
rnacentral:rRNA from 1 species